GUCCAGGGGUCAGGCCGCUGCCACCUCCUCCUGCAGCGGAGACAGCACAGCCAGCGGGCGCACUGGCCGCAACGGCAACCCUCCGCGCAGGGAGGAGAAGGAGGAGAGUGGCUCGAGGAGACUUGAUUUUCUUGGAUUUGCUGCCAGUCCUUAAACCAAACCAGGCUUUCGAGGCGCUAAAGUAAAUUACCGGUGGCAGUGUAGAAGCCAAAACGGGAGCUUCCAGAAGUGGUUUCUG
rnacentral:lncRNA from 1 species